rnacentral:rRNA from 1 species
GAUGAACGCUGGCGGCGUGCUUAACACAUGCAAGUCGAACGAUUGAAGCUGGAGCUUGCUCCGGCCGAUUUAGUGGCGGACGGGUGAGUAACGCGUGGGUAACCUGCCUCAUACAGGGGGAUAGCAGUUGGAAACGACUGGUAAAACCGCAUAAGCGCACGGUGUCGCAUGACACAGUGUGAAAACACUCCGGUGGUAUGAGAUGGACCCGCGUCUGAUUAGCUAGUUGGUGAGGUAACGGCCCACCAAGGCGACGAUCAGUAGCCGGCCUGAGAGGGUGAACGGCCACAUUGGGACUGAGACACGGCCCAAACUCCUACGGGAGGCAGCAGUGGGGAAUAUUGCACAAUGGGGGAAACCCUGAUGCAGCGACGCCGCGUGAGUGAUGAAGUAUUUCGGUAUGUAAAGCUCUAUCAGCAGGGAAGAUAAUGACGGUAC